rnacentral:rRNA from 1 species
UACGGAAGGGGCAAGCGUUGUUCGGAAUCAUUGGGCGUAAAGGGCGCGUAGGUGGUUCUGUAUGUCUACCGUGAAAGCGUAUGGCUCAACCGUAUUUUGUCGGUGGAAACUGCAGGACUUGAGGCUGGGAGGGGCUGGUGGAAUUCCCUGUGUAGCGGUGAAAUGCGUAGAGAUGGGGGAGAACACUCGUGGCGAAGGCGGCCAGCUAGACCAGUUCUGACACUGAGGCGCGAUAGCGUGGGGAGCAAACAGG